rnacentral:lncRNA from 1 species
AGAGUAUUUCAUCUGGUUUUGGAGUUCUACUAAAGGAGCAAGGAGUGAGAGGCUUCUUCCGUGGUUGGGUUCCUACCCUUCUUGGUUACAGCGCACAGGGUGCUUGCAAGUUUGGAUUCUAUGAGUUCUUCAAGAAGUACUAUUCUGACCUUGCUGGACCUGAAUACUUUGCCAAGUACAAGACUCUCAUCUAUCUUGCUGGCUCUGCAUCUGCUGAGGUGAUUGCUGAUGUUGCACUUUGCCCCUUUGAGGCAGUCAAGGUCAGGGUUCAAACCCAGCCUGGUUUUGCUAGGGGUCUGUCUGAUGGUCUUCCCAAGUUUGUCAGAUCUGAAGGUGCUCUCGGGUAUGCUCCUAUGCGCUAUGUUAAAUUUUCCUUUUAAAUAAUACAAGGAAACGUCUGUCAGAAUGAGCUUUUAACUAUUUCCCUUUGCAGAUUGUACAAGGGUAUUGUUCCUCUUUGGGGCCGACAGAUUCCAUGUAAGUUUUCCAUGUACAGUUUGCUGAGUACUGCCUUUAUUAUCAUUUAUCAUUGCUUGGGAACUUGUACUUUUAUUUGGUCAUGCCUUCUUUUCCCUUUCCCCCUUCUCUCUAACCCACUUUUUCUGUUCAUAGUUCUAGCAUUUGCUAAGUGCAGCAAAGUGUAAGAUGUAUUUGUUUGAUCUUUCUUUGUUUCAGAUACCAUGAUGAAAUUUGCUUCUUUUGAAACUAUUGUUGAGAUGAUCUACAAGUAUGGUAUUCCCACUCCCAAGGAGCAGUGCAGCAAAAAUCUGCAGCUUGGUGUUAGUUUUGCUGGUGGUUAUGUUGCUGGUGUCUUCUGUGCUAUUGUUUCGCAUCCUGCUGACAACCUUGUCUCCUUCCUUAACAAUGCCAAAGGAGCAACUGUUGGGGAUGUAAGUUCUGUGCCUUGGAUGAUCCGUUUGAUAUUUAAUUCUCAUUUAUGAAGCAGUUUUUUUUUUACUUUACCUUGACCCUUUUACUAUCUCUUGGCAAUGUAGGCUGUGAAGAAGCUUGGAUUAUGGGGUCUGUUUACCCGUGGUCUUCCCCUCCGUAUUGUGAUGAUUGGAACUCUAACUGGAGCUCAGUGGGGUAUCUAUGAUGCUUUCAAAGUGUUUGUGGGGCUGUAAGUUCUUCCCAGCACUAGACUCGGUUAAUAUACAUGCUUUUGUGGUUUAUGCUAAUGUUUUUUCUGCAAUCCUUCAGGCCAACUACUGGUGGUGUUGCUCCUGUGCCUGCUGCUGUGGAGCUUGCCAAGGUAUAGAAUGUUGGAAAACCUGUUGUCAUGGGGGACAAGUAAAUGGAUUGCUGGAAUGGUUUGUCAAGCUGGUGGAAGGAUAUUCUUUUUUGCGUUGAGAACAUUUUUAUCAAGUCGCUCUGUUUUGGAAAAAACUGUUGGUUUUAGGAGAGGAUGGUUUUGAUCUCAUCCUCCAAAUUACGGAGACUAAUUAUUUUUGUAAUAGUUAGAUCAUAAAUGAAAUUUCAUUUGAAGAUCAUUCCCCCCCUUCUGUAGCAGUUAAAAAUAAGGAGCAGAUGCAGAUGGGGACGAUACUGCCUACUUUACCUUCUUAAGCAAGCUUUUUAAUGUAAUAUUGAGAACUUUUGUUCGGCUUUCUUUGAGUAAGGCAUCUCACUCUCUCUCUCUGCAAAAAAAUAUUUAUUACAUUUUUAGAUAUAUUUCAUGGAGGUUACAAGUAGUUAUUCAUAGAAAAGACGGUGCACCUUAGAGGGUUGUUUCACAUGACCGCAAUCGCACCACCCCAACCCAAUCAGCUCUUUCAACGUUAUAAAAAUCUCGCUUUGUCGCCAUUUUCUUGCUCAAAGUUAGCAAAAGUUUAGUCGCCAUCAAGAAACUUAAAUUGACUUUGUGUUUGAGUCAGAUAACCAGAGCGGUGAAUUAGUAGUGUUUGAUACAAACCUCUAAUGUUAUUAAGUGAUCUAAAUUCUUAUUUAAAUAAAAUACAGUGGUAAAAUAAAAUAAAAGUAAAAUUCUUAUUGAAAUAUACUUAUUUUAUUUUAUUUUAGAAUAAUAUUUUUUAAAUCUUAUUAAAUUUCAUUUUUUUAUAUUGAUUAGAAUAAGAUGUUUCAAUCUUACUAUACUUCUAUUAGAAUAUGGUUUUACAAGCUUAUAAAUAGAUAUAAUCUACCCCUGUUAUAAUUAUUCGAAUUCGACAUAGUGAAUUUUUUUCUCCUCUGCCCAUGUUUUUUCCCGAAAGGGUUUCUAUGUAAAAAUCUGUUUUUUCUUUAUUUUUAUUUCUCUUUUCUUUGUGAUAUAUUGUCAUUACCGAUCUUCUAUUUUUACAAAUUGAUAUCCGAGCUUCAGGUUUGUUCAUCUUAAUCACAGUAAUGGCGUCUUUAAAGUAUGAAAUUCUGCUGUUGGAUCGUAACACCAGAUUCGCGUUAUGGCAGAUAAAGAUGCAGGCAGUUCUUGCAUAGAUGGACUUAUAGGAAGUCUUGUUAGGGGUAAAUAAGAUGCUUUCGACAUUGACAGAGGAAGAGAAGAAGCGUAAGGAUCGAAAGGCGUUAACACAAUUACAUCUGCAUUUGUCUAACGAAAUUUUAUAGGAUGUGAUGGAGGAGAAGACUGUCGCUGGAUUAUGGAAGAGGUUGGAACAAAUAUUUAUGUCGAAAACUCUAACCAGCAAGCUGCAUAUGAAACAACGUCUUUAUGUUAAUCAUUUGGAGAAAGGUGUGUCUGUGCACGAACACUUAAUAGUGUUUAAAGAAAUUCUCUCAAACUUGGAGGCCAUGGAGGUUCAGUAUGAUAAGGAAGAGUUAGGGUUGAUUCUACUUUAUUCGUUGCCCCCAUCUUGUUCAACCUUUAGAGACACGAUUUUAUAUAGCCAUGAGUCUCUCACAGUAGAUGAGGUUUAUGAUUCUUUGACCUCGUAUAAUAAGAUUAAGCAUCUUGUGGUUAAAACCGACUCUCAAGUAGAGGGUCACAUUGUUCGUGGGAGACAAGAUCGAAAUGCUGAUGAUAAUCAUGAAAGGACACAGGAAUGGAAUCCUCGCGGUAAAUCUAAAGGUAGAUCGAAGUCUUCAAAUAUAGGUAAAACUUGUAACUUUUGCAAGAAAAAAUGGCAUAUUAAAUCUGAGUGCUAUAAGCUACAAAAUAAGAUCAAAAUAGAGAUUGCGAAUCAAAAGGGAAAAAAACCAGAAAAUUUUAGUGAAGCCGAUGUUGUAGAAGACUACAACGAUGGUGAACUUCUAGUCGUUUCUGUCAACAAUUCUAAAGUGAGCGAAGAGUGGAUCAUUGAUUCGAGCUGCACCUUCCACAUGAAUCCCAAUCGGGAUUGGUUUACAACUUAUGAAACAGUGUCUGAAUGUGUUAUUUUGAUGGGAAAUAAUGCUUCGUGUAAAACCGCAGGUGUUGGAACAAUUAAAGUUAAGAUGUUUGAUGGAGUUGUCAGAACACCUAGUAACGUACGACAUGUUACAGAAUUGAAGAGAAAUUUAAUUUCGUCGAGUACUCUUGAUUUAAAAUGGUAUAAAUACACAGCUGAAAGUGGGGUUUUGAAGAUUUUCAAAGGUUCCCUCGUUGUGAUGAAAGGGCAGAGAAAGACUGCCAAGUUAUAUGUUUUGCAGGGUUCUACUGUUACUGGUGAUGUAGCUGUCGCAUCCUUUUUCUUGUCAGAUGAUGAUAUUACUAAACUUUGGCAUAUGCGCCUAGGGCAUAUGAGUGAGAAUGACAUGGCAGAAUUGAGCAAAAGAGGACUUCUUGAUGGACAAGGAAUUUGCAAACUGAAGUUCUUUAAGCCCCGCGUUUUUGAGAAGCAAAAGAGAUUUCGAUUCACCAGAGGAAUCCAUAACACGAAUGGAACGUUGGAGUAUAUUCAUUCUGAUCUGUGGGGGCCAUCCAGAGUGCCUUCGAGAGGUGAAGCUAAUUACAUGCUAACUUUUAUAGAUGAUUUUUCGAGAAAAGUUUAGGCGUUCUUCCUAAAGCAGAAAAGUGAUGUGUUUUCCGCAUUUAAGUCUUGGAAAACUAUGAUUGAAAAAUAGACGGGAAAACAAAUAAAGUACCUCCGCACAGACAAUGACUUAGUGUUAUAUUCUGAUGAGUUUAAUAAAUUGUGGAAGUCAGAAGGGAUCAUGGGACACUUGACAGUUCAUCAUACUCUACAGUAAACGACGUUGCAAAACGAAUGAACAGAACGAUCAUGAAGAGUGUUCGAUGUAUGUUGUCAAAUGCCAACUUACCAAAGUCAUUUUGGGCCGAAGUAGCCUCUAUUGCAUAUUUUUUGAUCAACCGGUCUCUAUCUGUUGCCAUUGAGAAAAAGACUCCACAAGAGGUAUGGUCCGGUAAUCUUGUUGACUAUUCUGAUUUAAAGAUCUUUGGGUGUCCUACGUAUGCUCAUGUUGAUAAUGGAAAAUUGGAAUCGAGAUCCAUUAAAUGUGUUUUUCUUAUUUAUAAAGCUGGAGUAAAAAGGUAUAAGUUAUGGUGUCUUGAAAAUAGAAAAGUUGUGAUUAGUAGAGAUGUUGUUUUUUAUGAAAUUGCUAUACUACCUAACUUAUCUCUUAAAGGCUCUUCCAAUAAAGGAAAUCAAAAGUAGGUGGAACAUCAGAUUAAUCCAGAAUCUACAACAGAGUCGACUCCUCAAGCCAGUACAAAAAUUUAGAAUAGAGUUGUUUAUUCACCACAAUACUCUAUCGCCAAAAACAGAACUAGAAGAGAAAUUAAACCUCCAAAGAAGUAUGCUGAGGCUGAUCUAGUUGCUUAUGCUUUAAAUGUGGCUGAAGAUAUAGAUGCAAAGCAAGAACCAUCUAAUUAUUCUGAGGCGAUUAGCUGUGAAGACUCAGAAAAGUUGAUAUUUUCUAUGUAAUAGGAGAUGGAAUUACUCCACAAAAACAAAACAUGGGAUCUUGUGAAACUUCCUAAAGGUAAAAAGGUUGUUCAUUGUAAAUAGGUGUUUAAAAAGAAAGAGGGGACUCCAGGAGUUGAAGAGCCCAGAUAUAAAGUAAGGCUUGUUGCAAAGGGUUACAGUCAAAUUCCAGGAGUUGACUUCACAAAUAUGUUCUCCCUAGUUGUGAAACACAGUUCGAUUCGAGCUUUGUUUGGUAUUGUGGCCAUGGAUGAUUUGGAGCUUAAGCAGUUAGAUGUAAAAACUGUAUUUUUGCAUGGAAAACUUGAGGAGGAUAUUUACAUGAAACAACCAAAGGGUUUUAUAGUCUCAAAAAAGAGGACUAUGUUUGCUUGCUGAAAAAGCCCCUUUACAGUUUGAAACAGUCACCAAGAUAGUGGUACAAAAGGUUUGAUUCCUUUAUGACUUCUCAUGAUUUCAAAAGAAAUAACUUUGACAGUUGUGUUUACUUUAAGAAAAACAGUGAUGGUUCUUUUGUGUAUCUACUCCUUUAUAUUGAUGACAUUUUUAUAGCAGUGAAAGAUAAAUAAGAGAUAAGAAAGGUUAAAGCCCAACUAAGUGAAGAAUUUGAGAUGAAAGAUUUGGGACCAAUAAAGAAGAUACUUGGUAUGAAGAUUCUUAAAAAUAGAAAAGCAAGUGAAUUGUACCUAAGUUAGAAGGGGUACAUUGAAAAAGUUCUUUGCAAGUUCAAUUAGAGUGCUAAGCCUGUUAGUACUCCUUUAAUAGCCCAUUUCAAACUUUCAUCGGCUUUGUCUCCAUAAUCAGAUGAUGGGAUUGAGUAUAUGUCACAUGUUCCAUACUCUAGUGCAAUGGGAUCUCUCAUGUAUGCUAUGGUUUGUUCAAGUCCAGAUUUAUCAUAUGCAGUCAGUGCAGUUAGCAGAUACAUGACGAAUCUCGGUAAAGAACAUUGGAAAGCAGUUCAAUGGAUUUUAAGAUACUUACGAGGUACUACUGAUGUUUGCUUACAGUUUGGAAGAAUUAGAGAUGGAGUCAUUAUAACACCCCUAACCCGUAUCCAUUACUAGAACAGGGUUAUGGAGCAUUACCGGACCUAUCGGACAAUUUACAAUUAAUAUGAAAACCAACACAUUUUCACAUUCAAACCUAUUUAAAACAUGCCUUUCAUAAGUAAAUACUCAUCAUAUACCAAAUGACCAAAUUGUCAUCUUGAAUCAUCACCAAAACCUUUAUAAAAAAGACUCAAGCCUAUACAUGCCAUAGAACCUAUCGAAACCAUUUAAAAAAAAAGAAUAGUCAUCGACUUAAAAAAGAUUGGAGUCGCCACCGAUCUUUCAUUGAAGUGUGAUCGGAUCACCUUGAAAACGAUUUUGGUCUACGAAUUUUAAAAAACGGGUUCGGGAGUCAGUUACGUACGAGGAAGGAUUAGCACCCUCGUAAUGCCCAAAAUUGGUACCUAAUCUAUUAAUCAAUGUCUUAAUGUCGAAAAAUUGAAAAUUCAAAAAGAAAUUUAAAAUACGAUCCUUUGUUAAAAUAUCUAAAAAAAUUCAAGAAAGGGGCACAUUUCACGUCAAUCGAGAAAGAGAAUCAUGUCCCGUAAGUUAGGACACAAUAUCUUGAAUUCCCGAUACGAGAAUAAAUGCUGAAAAAUUUACCUAUUUGAAAGAUAUUCGAUUCUCUAGGUUUUAGAAAAAAAACCAUAUUCCGUAAGUUAGAACAUAGUCUCAUUAAUUCCCGAGAUAAUUUAAAAAAUAUGUUUUUGAAAAAUGAUUUGUAUAUUCGGAUUUAUCGAAAAAUCGAAACCCCAUAAGUUAGGGGUCAAUUUUCUCGAAUUCCGUGGGUAUGAAAUAUUGUAUUUGUUUUUAAAAAAAUAUAUUUUUACAAAUUUGGAUAAAAAUGUUCGAUGUUCGAAAUAUUACAUGCAUGAAAUAUUGCACUAAUAAAUAACAAUAACGAAUAAUAAUAAAGGCAAUUUACGAGAAUUAUAUUAUAUGCACUAUUUUACAAUAAUAUGAACAAUCAAGGAAUAACAAUAAUAAUAGAACCAAAGCAUGCAAAUAAGAGGGAAAAAAACACUAAACAAAAUCCAAGUAAAUAAAAUAAAUAUAUAAAAGAUUUAAAAAAGGUUUAUGAAAAUAUUGAAAGUAAUGAUCUAAAUUACAACAUAAGUGAGAUUUAAAUAAAUAAUUUAGAGUAAAAUAUGUAAAUAAGUGAAAUAAUGAAAGCAAUAAAUUAAUAAUACUAGUACUAAUACUAAUAAUAAUAAUAAUGAAGUUCACGAAUAAAAAUAAAACAAAACAAAAUAAAAGAAAGAUUAAACAUAAAAAUCACGAUGAAAUAAUAAAAAUAAAAGAGUAAAUAAAAUAAAUAAAUAAAACACAACACAAAAUAAAAUUAAAACCAAGACAGAGACAAAAAGAGGCUAAAUUGUUAUUGGAAUAAAAUUAAAAGCUAAAAAAUAAAUUUUUGAAUACAAUUGGGGCUAAAAUUAUAAACAAAUAAGUGCAAAAGGACUAAAUUGAAAUUUAAUAAAAAAUGGGGUAAAAAUCGAAAGUAAAAAUAAAGGAAAGGGCCCAAUUGAAAAGCGCGCAUAACUCAGAGGGACUAAAUGGGGAAAUAUCCCCGCCCUCUGCAAUGCACCAUUUCGUCAGGACUAAAUCGAAAAAAGAAUAAAAUUUGAAGUAUUAAUUGAAAAAUAAAGAAAAAUUGGAUUAAAAUAAUCAAAAUAUGCGGAAGGACUAAAUGCACAAAUUGCCCAUUAAUAAAAAAAACACACGAAUUCUCCCCAGGUAAGGUCAACACACGGAUUAAGGCUCAAAACGACGCUGUUUUGGGGCUAUGGAGGCCAGCCCUAAAUGACAUCGUUUCAUGGGCUUAUAAAAGUCAAUUUUUUUUAAAAAAACUGCAUUCUUCCUCAUUUCAAAAAAAAACACUAAAACCCCUAAAAUUUCUCUCAACCUCCCUUUUAGCCGGUCGAACUCCUACCGUCGGCCAUCGUGUCGGCCACCGGUCGUCGGCGAAGGUGCCGCUGUCCCCGGUGGUCGAAAAAUCAAAAGGAACCCAUUUUUUUGGGCUUUUCAACUCCCUUGGCCUAAAAACGUUGUUUUUCAUUGGAAACGACGAACUUCGGCCUCAAGAUGACGCAAAACGUAAAUAAAAGGUAAGUUUUUAUUAUUUAUUAUUUAUUUUCGAAAAGAUAAAAAAGAGUAAAAAAGAAAGAAAGAAAAAUCAAAUUUUCUUGAGUCUGUUAAUUUUUUGAUUUGAUUUUUCUAUUUUUCAUUCAUUCGUAAGUAAAAAAAAAUACAAAAAUCGGGGCCUUUUGUAUAGCCUGAAAAUAUCCUCUUUUUCUAUUUUUCUGUUAGAUUCUCCUCGUUUAUUCGUUUUGCAGGUACAAGGCCGUUAGCCAGCUGGUGUACAGAGCGGCACAUGCGGGGGAGGCGACGACAGUUAAGGCGGCGGCGGCUAGGGUUUUCCCUUCUUUUUUGCUGCUAAAAAUGUUUAGUUUUUGGGCCAUAUUAGGCCACUAGGGUUUUUUGGUUAUUGGGCUAGUUGAGUUUUGUAUUUAUUAUUUUUGGUGUUUUAUUAUUUGGGUUUGGGUUAUUUGCUUAGUUGGGCUCGAGCAAAAUGGGUUGUUACAGAACCAAUAUCACAAAGCUUAUAAAUACCAAACCAUAGCUGGAUAGUGUGAUGAGAUCUCUAACGACUUCCAACUCGAGCAAGCCUGCGAAACUCUAUAAACAUAGGAAAGAAAACAAAGUAAGCUAUAAAGCUUAGUAAGCUCGUAUGGAAAUAAACUCAUGUUAUUAAAUAACCGCAUUUAAAACAAUUAUUCAAAAUAUGAUAUAAUUCAUAUGAUUGCACCAUUCUAUUUCAAAUUCAUGCACAUAGUUAAUCCAGAUUUUCAUGAGUUUAUUCAUUCAAAACACGUAUAGUUUGAAUACUUCUUAUCAAUUCUUUCACAUUUUUAUAUGCGUAAGCAAUUAUAUAUAUACUUUAUUCAAUUCAAUAUUCAUCACCUUUUCUUUAGCCAAGUGAAUUAUCAUCAAAUAACGAUAUUUCGCACACAAUGUGCCAUAUGUAUAUUUAGUUAAAACAACUAUAACUCAUAUCUCACAUAUCAUCUAUACAAUUCACAUAGAUCACAUUUCAAUUCAUUCUCAAUCAUAUAAUCGGUAACAGUAUAAUACCUGUUGAACCUAAUGAAACAUCUAAGGAUACUCGGGUGAUACACAUUAUGUGCAUUAAUCGGUAAUCCAUCAAUUCAUUAUCAUUUUCGCUCUUUCGAACUAUGAUCGGUAAGCUCAUUCCGAGCUGAAGAACGGUAAGCUUUAUUCUAGCUAAAACGGUAAGCUCAUAAGAUUUGAUAUAUCGGUAAGCUCAUACGAGCUGUGGUGAGUCCGCCACAAAUGUAGGAGCUCGAACAAAAAGGUAACCCUAGUGACAUGUCACUCGUAUCCUACGAUUUUCUAUAGUUCAAACGGGACUCGGUAUUACUCAAUACAUUUCAAAUUAAGCAAUUCAAUAUCGUUUAUUUCAACCAUUCAAUUCACAUAUAUAUCCAUAUUCAGUUUGCAACAGCCCGAUUUUGACCCUAAUUGGAACAGUGGUUUCGGGACCACACAUCUGAGUUUGAAAAAUAUUUUAAUAUUUUUAUUCUGUGUUUAUCAUGUGUAAAUUUACAUGUGUGAAAGUUUCGUGAGUUAAUUUUAUUGUUUGAGUGCUUAAUUUGAGAAAAGGGGCUUAAUCGCGUAAAAUGAAAAUUUGAUGGUUAAUUAAGAAAAUGCCUAAUUGUUGUUGUCUUUAUAAGUUGGAGGCCUUAUGUUGUAAUUUAGUCAAUAAUAAUAGGUAGUGGAUGACAUAAUGAUGAUAUGUGAUUUAUAUAUAUAAAUAAAAGUUAAAAUAAUAAUAUAAUAAUAUAUGUUAUAAUAAAACAAAACAUUAAAAAAGCCACCAUUUUUUAUGUUCAUCUUUCUUCACCGAAUGUAGAAAAUAAAAACAAGGUUUGAAAGCUUGAAACAUUCGGCCAUUUUGAAGCUUAAUUCAAGGUUGGUUUUUGUUCGGUUUUUGAUAGAUUUUACGUUUUGAGAUCGUUGCUUUGAAUACUUCAAAACCCAUGUCUUAAUUUUGUGAAUUGUUGAUGAUUUUGAUAAAUGCCAUUGAUGAAUGCUUGAAAUUUGUGAUAGUUGAUGAUGAAAUAUGAAAGAUAUGUGAAAGAUUAACAUGUUUCGUCUUUGAAUUUUUGAUGAAUUUGAGUAAUUAGGGUUAAAUUGUAAAAAUAAAUUUUUGAGGGACUAAAAUAUGAAAUAAAUGAAAUGUGUGGGCUUGUAUGGACACUAGGAAUAUUCGGCCCUUAAGUGUAGUCAAAUUUUGUGUAUUUUGUGUUUUGAGCAAAAAAGACUAAAUUGUAAAAAGUGUGAAAUAUUAGGGGCAAAAUUGUAAUUUUCCUAUUAAUGUGUUUUUAGGCUAAAUUGAAUAGAAUGGUGUUUAAAUAAGCUUAAUUUGAAUGUGCUUAGAUCAAGAAUUAAAGAAAUCAGAUUUGGAUCGGGGAAAGACAAAAGUGGUCGAGUAGCCGAUUUAAUAGUCGACGACAUUCGACGUAAGUCAAUAAGCAUUUAAAUGUUGAACUAACUAUGGUAUAUAUAUUUGUUAUGCAUUGAAAUGAAUUAUUUGAAGUUAUAUAAGCUAGUGCCGAAUGUAAUAUUGUGAAUUGAUUAUAUUUCGAGAAUGAUAUAAAUUAGAUGUGAAUUAUGUGAAAGACCGAUUUUGUAAGUUCAGGCUUUAUGCCUGGCAGGCUUUAUACCUGUGAAUUAUAUCAGGCUUUAUGCCUAGCAAGCUCUGUGCCGGUGAAUUAUAUCAGACUUUAUGUCUAGCAGGCUUUGUGCUAGUGAAAUGUAUCGGGUUUUGUGCUUAGCAGGCUUUAUGCCGGUGUUUUAUACAAGGCUCUAUGUUCUAUAAAUCUUAUGUGAGCAAUAGUAAAAACAAAUAAAUGUGUUAAGAAAGCUAAAUUAUUCAAGUAUGUGUUAGCCAUUUGCUUAAUUGAUGAUAAGGUAAGUUGGUUAUUUUUAAUUGAUAAUAGUUUCAAAUGAAAUAUACAGUAUGAGUUAACCAUUUGAGUAUAAGCAUGUUUUGGCAUAAUGAUUUAUUGAAUAUUCAGUUUUGCUAAAUAUUUAUGUGUAUUUGGCCAUAUGGUUUGUUUAUAUGAAAAUACAAUGUGAUCUUUAUUCAAGUGUUAUAUGGUACAAAAUAUUAGGAUAUUUGGUUUAUUUAACUUAAUGAUGGAAUAAGUAUUAAUAUAUAUACAUAUAUGAAUUUUUGCUUAUGACUUACUAAGCUUUAAUAGCUUAAUGUGUGUUUGUAUUUGUUUACUUCUGUUUUAUAGAUUUUGGAGUCGCAUUACGAGCUCGGGGAUCAUCAGCAUAGUCUAUCACACUAUCGACCGUCUUUGGUAUUUUAUAAAUUUGAAUUUUGAACCUAUGACAUAUAUUGUCCAGUCAAUAUGUUUAAUUUUGGGAUAUGUGAAUAUGAGCAAUGCGAAAAUGGUUUAUUCAUUUUGGUUAAGCUUGGUUUUAUGUUUUUGAUCUAUUGAUAUAUAUAUUUGAUGUUUAAGUUUAUGCAAAUUUCGGUUAUAUAUAUAGAAGUGUAAUGUGUUUAGCAUAAUUGUUAAUAGUUGUAUAAAUUAGUUAUAUUUAAGCCUAUUUCGAAAGUAAUAUGUGUAUUACAUGUAUAUGAUGUAUUAUGUCUAUGUUGCCUAUUUGUUGUAUAUAUGCUGUUAAAUUUUGGUGUAAAAAUGCUGCUCAAUUUGGUACGUAUAUGCUGCCCAUUUGUUGUAUAUAUGCUGUUAAAUUUUGGUGUAAAAAUGCUGCUCAAUUUGGUAUGUAUAUGCUGCCCAUUUGUUGUAUAUAUGCUGUUAAAUUUUGGUGUAAAAGUGCUGUUAAAUUUGGUAUGUAUAUGCUGUCCAUUUGUUGUAUAUAAGCUGUCCAAAUUUUGGUGUAUAAAUGCUGUUUAAUUUGGAAUAUAAAUGCUGUCCAAAUAGAUGUAUAAGAGCUGUCCAAACAAGGUAGAUUAUCCAUAUUGUAAUAUGUAGUAUAGUAAGUAAAUUUAAAUGAAAUAAAUGUGUACAAAUAAAUAUUUGGAUACAUGCUUGAUUUAUGAUAUAUAAUCAUAUAGGUUUGGAAAUGUUUUAAGAAUUUGAAUUAUAUCAAAUUUUGAUUAGGUAAAUCAUAAUGAUAUGGUUGAAUUUUGAAACAUAGUUGAUAUAUGUAAUUUGAUUAAUGAUGCAUGUUUGAUUUUAAUUGAUUAUGUGCUUAAAUAUAUAUAUAUAUUUGGGAAGAAAUUUUGUGGUUGAGUUAGUAUAAAAAAAAUUGGGUCGGGUUUUGAUCGGUACUGACUCGUAACUCUAAUCCGGCGACGAACACGAGUCAGGUUGUUACACAGUUCAUACAAUUGCAAUUAAAUGAAAGUUCAAUUCUAAUUAUACGAACUUACCACAUUGCAUAAUUUAAGCAAUUAAAUCAAUAUGUCCAACUCGAAUAUUCAAAUGCCUAUCAUACAUGCACCUCAAUAGGUUAGAGUCUCAAAUAUGCAUAUAACCAACAUUUCAUCCAUGAAUGCUUCAAUUUGGCAUUCAACUCACAUAGCAUUUCAUUCAUACAUUUCAUGAAAUUUCAUUUCCAUUUCUAUACAUCCUCAUAACACAUAUCAUAUUUCAUAUACAUGAUACACUAAGUGUAACACCCCUAACCCGUAUACGUCGCCGUAUUAGGGUUACGAGGUAUUACCGAACAAACACAACCAUUUUUAUUUUCCACACCAAUUCUUAAUACAAAACAUACAUAUCCGUCAAUUCAAUAUCAUAGCACAACCAAAACUCAUCCCUUAACCAAUUUACAGCAUAAACACCACUUCAAAUUAAGGUUAGAUCAUGAUCAAAUAUAGAUUAUGUUCUUUCAUACUCUUUAGCCGAAUUGUUUAAUAAAAACUUACAAGCAUUUUUACUAUGUUUUAAACUUACUAAUACAAACUAAUUCAUAAUUUAUUCAUGAUGUAACCAAUCAAGAAAUAUAAUCAAGUUAUCAAUCAUACUAAUUAUCAUUUAUACAAAUAGACUUAUACCAUGGUCGAAUCAUUUAAAUCAAUCACAUUGAACAUUCGACCUAGAAUAUAUAAAACUAAGUUUAAACAUAAUGAUCAAGCCAUUUUUAACUAAACCGACUUUAAGCAUAGGAAAUAGACCAUUAAAACAUAUUCGUUAAUACCAAAUUCAAAACGAAAAGAGAUAAGCCAUUUUCGCAUGGCUCAUAUUCACAUAUCCCAAAAAUUUAGACAUAUUAACUAGACUAUACAUGCCAUAGGUUCGAGUUCAAAAUAUAUAAAAUACCAAAGACGGUCAAUAGUGUGAUAGAUUAUGCUGAUGAUCCCCGAGCUCGUAACGCGUCUCCAAAAUCUAUAAGAAUAGAUAGAUAAAGAUAACCAAAGUAAGCUUUUAUAGCUUAGUAAGUCUAUAGCGUAUCUAAAAAUACGUAUAAAAGAAUCACAUAAUUAUUUAAGUAAAUUUAUCGAAAUCACAAUUAUCAAAUAUAAUUACUAACCAAACAUUUCUAUAUUCAGUCAUUUCGUUUAAAUCUAAAAGAAUGUAUAUUUAACUAAUAUACAUAAACGGACAAAGGUAUAUACAUUAUAUGCAUAAAAUCAAAUUACUAAAAUAAUCAUUAUCUGCAUAUACAGAUUUCUAGAGUACUUGUUGUUCGUACUUCAUCGGAUCCAUUUAUAUAUAAUUGUUCAAUUACAUAUACCAAAAGCAUAAUUUUUAUACUUAUAAACUAUAAACGCCGAAUGCACAUAUUCACUUAUACCCACCUAUGCCGAAUGCAUACAUAUAUACACUUAUAUCUACCUAUGCCGAAUGCAUACAAAUAUAUAUCCACCUAUGCCGAAUGCCUACAUAUGCACACAUAAAUAUCCAACAAUUUUCAUGACAUCCGAGAUAUAUAUAUACAUACUCACUAAUCACAAAUAUUCGAACAAUUAUAUACUCAUCAACAUCUUGAAACAAUGUUCAUACAUUCAUCCAUUUCAUAUAAAAUCAUAUCUAUAUUUAUACCAAAUGCUUAGAAUCACUUAAUUCAUCAUAUUCGGAUCACCGGCACUUAGCCUGCUAGGCUUAUAGCCUGAUUCAGAUCACCGGCACUUAGCCUGCUAGGUUUAUAACCUGGUUCAUAUCACCGGCACUUAGCCUGCUAGGCUUAUAGCUUGAUUCAGAUCACCGGCACUUAGCCUGCUAGGUUUAUAACCUGAUUCAAUUCACCAAUUCCAAACUUGAAAAUUCAAUGAUUCAACCGAAUACAUUUAUAUAUAUAUUUUGAGUCUAUCAUAUACAUAUAUAAUUACGUACUCAUAAUCAAAGCAUGAAUUUAUAUUUGUAUACUCAUACAUAUUCGAAUAUAAUAUAUAUACAUCCAUAAUUUUAUUCCCAAAUCCAUAUAAGGUAUCAUACAUGUAUAUGCAAGCUUGUUCGAUCCACAUAUAUAUAUUACACACAUAUAUAUAUUCGCACAUUAUAUAAACACAACCAUAACAUUUGAACUUUUAAUUGAAUCCAAAAAUUUAUACUUUUAUAUACAUACCUAUUCGAACAUCACAUGUAUAUGUAUGAAAUUCACACAUCAACUAACAUAAAUUUUAUACUUGUAAUUAUAACUCAUUAAUUAUAAAAUAAAUAUACUUAUAUAUAUUGAUUUGGUAACAUGAAUUUUUGCUAACAGACUUACCUCGGAUAUCAGCGGACACGAUCGACUAUUCGAUUACUUUCGUUUUUCCCCGAUCCAAAUUCAUUUUCUUCGUUUCUUGAUCUAAACAUAAUCAAAUUUAACCUUUUUAUUCAUCAAAACAUUCAAUUAAUUUCAAAAAUACAUAAAUGGGAAAAUUACCAUAUUGCCCCUAACAUUUUGCACUUUUUGCAAUUUAGUCCUUUUUGCACAAAACACAAAAUACACAAAAUUUGCCCAUACCACACAAGGGCCGAAUAUUCAUGGUUCUCAUACAAGUCCACACAUUGCAUUUAUUUCACACUUUAGUCCCUCAAAAAUUUAUUUUCACAAUUUAACCCUAAAUACUCAAAUUCAUCAAAAAUCCCAAGACAAAACAUGUUAAUCUAAGACAUAUCUUUCAUUAUUCAUCAUCAAACAUCACAAAACACAAAUAUUCAUCAAUGGCAUAACUCAAAAUAUUCAUCAAAAUCAGAAAUUCAAGCAUGGGUCGGGUAGUAUUCAAAGCAACGAUAUCAAAAACGUAAAAAUCAUCAAAAACCGAAGCAAAAACAUACCUUAAUUAGACCUAGAGAUAGCCGAACCUUGUUGUUCUCUUUUCUUUUCUUUUUCUUUUCUAUAUUCGGCCAAGAUGAAGAACAUGGCAUUUUAAUUUUGUUAUAUUAAACAUAUAUUAGCCUUAUUUUUAAUUUACUAUAUUAACCUUUACAUAUAUAUAUAACAUAUAUAAUAAGGUUACAUUAGUCAUUUGCCACCCACUAACUUACAUAGUGGACUAAUUGCAUAAUAAAACCUCUAAAUUAUAAAGACAACAACAAUUAGGUGCUUUUAUAAUUAACCCCUAAAUUUUCAUUUUACGCGAUUAAGCCCUUUUAUUAAAUCGGACACUUAAACGACGAAAUUAAAACACGAAAAUUUCACACAAUCAAAUGCACACAAAAUAAACACACAAAAUAAUAUUAAUAAUAUUUUUCUAAUUCGAAUUUGUGGUCUCGAAACUACUAUUCCGAUUAGGGUCAAAAACCGGGUUGUUACACUAAGAACUUACCAAAUUACCUUCAUUUGAUUCUCAUUUAGGUUUUGUACGUAUCUGUAUCACUUAAUUUGAUUGUACUUUCAUUCUCGUAUUGACUUUGCCCGUUGAACCAUUCGGAAUCGUUAAGGAUACUCAGAAAUCAUAAUUUCUCAUACAAUGUCAUAUCCCAGAUAUAGUCUUACAUGUUAUCACAAAUCGAUGCCACUGUCCCAGACAAGGUGUUAUACGAAAUCAUAUAAAGAUGCCAAUGUCCCAGACAUGGUUUUACACGUAAUCACAAUACAAUGCCAAUGUCCCAGACAUGGUCUUACAUGUUAUAACCUCUCAGUAAUCCUAAUGUCAUGACAUUUGUAUCAUACGAGGCUUUUGGAUGUCGUAACUCCUUCGAUUUCGGCUCGUAUUCAUGACCAUUCAUCAUUCAAUUCAAUUAAAUAAUAAUUAAGCAUUUAUAACACAAUUUAAAUAUGUUAUUAGCAUACGAACGUACCUCGUUCGCUGUAACGACGAAUUAGGUCGACUAAUUCGAUACUUUAUUUUCCCUCGUUCUAGAUCCGAAUCUCAUUUUUCUCAAUCUAUAUAAUAGCAAAAUUUGCUUAUUUAAUCAUUAAUCCAUUCAAUUUAACACAUUUUAUACAUUUUGGAAAAAUUACACUUUUGCCUUAUUAUUUAACAUUUUUGCAAUUUAGUCCUUAUCACAUAAAAUCAUAAUUUCAUGCAAUUUCAUCCUACCCAUGCUUAGCCGAAUUCUUCUUAUUGCCUUAGCAGCCCACAUUUUCCAAAUAAUCACACUUUUAACCACAUAAUUUUAAUAUUUCAUAAUUUAAUCCCUAAUUUGCAUUUUUAUCAAAAAAUCACUUUAUAAAAUAUGAAAGUCUAACAUUAAAUAUUCAUAUAAAGAACACAUAAGCUCAUCAAUGGAAACUAUCAAAAUCUUUAAUAGUUUUGAAAUCAAAGACACGAGCUAGCUAGUACUAGUUGCAACGAUCUAAAAAACGUAGAAAUCAUUAAAAGUAGAUCAGAAUCCAUACCUAUUUGAGAAAAAAAAUACCAUGGCCGAAAGUCAAGCUCAUCCAUGGCUGUUUCAAACUCCAUUUUUGAUUGUAAAUUGGAUGAAAGAAGAUGAUAAUUAACUUUGUUUUAUUUAUUUUAUCUUUUAUUAUCAAAUACCAAAAUAAACCUUUAAAAACAUUAGUAACUACACCAAAUGCCACUUCACUAUCAUCCACUAACUCACAAAUGAGCUAUUUGCCACAUAAGAACCUUUACUUUAAAGUUCUUUAGCUAUUUGACACCUUUAGCUUAUAGAACACAACUUUUGCACUUUAACUUUACGCGAUUUAAUCCUUUUUAUCAAAUUAAGCACCCAAAUGAUAAAAUUUCUUCACGAAAUUUUUACACAAUCAUAAUAUCAUACUGUAAUUAUUAAAAUAAUAAUAAAAUAUUUUUUUUGGUAUCAGAUUCAUGGUCUCAAAACCACUGUUCUGAUUUGACUAAAAAAAAUGGGCUGUUACAGUCAUUGGGUAUGUUGAUGCUGAUUUUGCUGGAGACCUUGAUAAAAGAAGAUCUCUUAUGGGUUAUGUUUUUACAAUCGAAGGUUGUGCAAUCAGUUGGAAAGCCACUUUGGAAACUAUAGUCGCUUUAUCUACCACUAAAGCUGAGUACAUGGCGAUUACUGAGGCUUGUAAAAAAGCUAUUUGGUUGAAGGGACUCUUUAGUGAACUCAAUGAAGACCUUCAAAUCAAUACAGUAUUUUGUGAAAGUCAGAGUGUCAUCUUCCUUACAAAAGAUCAAAUGUUUCAUGAAAGAACAAAACACGUUGAUGUUCAGUAUCAUUUUGUUCGUAAUAUUAUUGCUGGUGGUGAUAUUGUUGUAAGCAAAAGUAAUACUCAUGAAAAUCUUGUAGAUAUGAUGACUAAGUCACUUCCUAUAACCAAGUUUGAGCAUUGCUUAGACUUUAUUGGUGUUCAUUGUUGAAGUUAAACCCUUAAAGGGUUUUAUGGAAGAGGUGGAGAACUUGUUCGUUGAGAGUUCGCGAUGAAGAACUUGUUAAUUGAGAAUUUGUGUCAAGGUAGAGAUUGUUAGAAUUAAGUGACCCGAAUCCUUAUUUAAAUAAAAUACAGCGGUAAAUAAAAUAAAAGUAAAAUCCCUAUAGAACUACACUUCUUUUAUUUUAUUUUAUUUUAGAAUAAGAUUUUUUAAACCUUAUUAAACUCCAUCUAUUUGAUAUUGAUUAGAAUAAGGUGUUUCAAUCUUACUACACUCCUAUUAGAAUAUGGUUUUACAAGCCUAUAAAUAGACAUAAUCUACUCUUGUAAUUAUUCGAAUUUGACAUAGUAAAUUUUCUUCUCCUCUACCCGUGGUUUUUUCCCAAAAGGGUUUCCACGUAAAAAUUUGUGUGUUCUUUAUUUUUAUUUCUCUUUUCUUUACGAUAUAUUGUCAUUACUAACCUUCUAUUUUUACAGUUCUAAUGCCAAGUGAGAGGGUUGGUAAAAGAAUAGUGCCUCAACCGUAUCUCACAAACAAUAACAUCAUUUGCCCAAGUCCUACCUUCCACCCUAAUACCACCCAACUCACAACCCUUGCUCAAAAACAAGAACGUCAUCAUCAACAUUCAACAGCAAAGUUAUCAGAAAAAAAUAGAAAUAGCAAAAUUUCCAUUCGCAUUUAUCACUGGUGACAGACCAUCGUGCUCACCCACAGCUUCAGGAUUUUCGUUCUCUCUCACAUCGACAGAUUCUUGGCGGCCAGUAAAGUUUCCCAGUAUUCCGGUGGGUUUCAUUGACAGUGUUAUUGAACUCAUGCGCCAGUAGUUAAAGCAUAUUGGGUAUCAAUGUUUUCCCUUUCUGGGGAAUCUCCAUCAUCAUUGUCUGAAAGUCUUAUUUUUUGAAGGUGAAACCAGGAGCACUCCCUUCUCAUCUAUUCCUCCUCUCUCUUUCUCUUGUUGGCACUCAAUCCUUCAUUGAUUUGAAAUUCCCUAAACCAUCCAACACUCUUACCUCUCUAGUUUCAGCCUGAACCGCAGCAUGGCCUUCAGUCUUGGCACUUCUUCUUUGAAUUGCACCUUUUCCAGUUCCUUUAACAUCCUUAUAUGACAUUUGUUUCUUCAAACAUGUUGAAACUAGGACUGGAUCAAUCAUUUUUCAUGCUUGUUUAUUCCUCCCAGGCAACUAGUGAACUAAAAGAGAAAACGACCCCCAACGUCAAAGGAAAAUGCCACCCACCUAUAGUCCCCAUCACAAUAGAAUCAGGAAAUAGAUGCUUUAUUAUGUUCAAAUACAAUAAAUUAUAACACAAGAUUUAGUUGAUAGAAAAUUAACAAAAAACGGCAGCUAACGGUUUCGUAGAAGAUAAUGCCACUGUUCUAUACAAGACAAAGAUGCAAAUCUGGUAAUUAACAACCCUAACUUGCAUACAUUCACAUUUUGAUUACAGAACUGUUUGAUUUCUUCUCCCUACAUGUGUGUUUUAUAUAUGGGAUAACAUAAAAUUCUGGCUUAAGCUGUAGUAUUAGCAUUGAUAAUUUGAUUUUGAUUGGGACAUAAACAUGAACAAGGAAGUGACCUGUCUAAGUAGAACCAAACAUUUCUUUUACUUGACAUUAAUUUCAAAUUCCAUCCUUAAAUAACCUUAUCUUUAUCCUUAAAAAAAUCAUUACACAAGCAAAAUUUAAAAAUUUUCUUAAGCAAUACUAAAGCAAGUGAAUGAUUCAUGCCAUUUCCCAUUUUUACAAAUAUUAAGGAGGGUCUUUACUCUUUAGCCUUGAGGUUGCAAAUAUUAUAUAUAGUUUGCCAUUUCUAAACCCACUUUGUCAAUCUUUUCCACCGUUAACAAUAGAUAUUCAAUGCCAUAUGGUAGGUUUGACUUGCCUUUACUUACUCUUUGGACCAUUAGUCGGGACCACUAGAGACAAUUAAAGGGACAUCUAAUGUUGCAAACUUCUAUUCUAACAUCCAUGCAUUAACCUGGUACUAAACUGUAAUAUUUUAAAACUUAUUAAAUACUAAAACAAAACGCAGGUAUUAAAAUGGAAAAAAACUUUAAGUACCAAAUUGAAUAUCGAACUUAAAUUCAAGUAUGAAAUAGGAUAUUAACCUUAUAAGAAAAAGGGAAUGACCAUUUUCGUAAUUAACAUAAAAUUACAAGGUCAAUUAGGUAUGGUGCGUAUAAAUCACGCGAGGGUUUUCUUUCCCAUUUCCUUUGUAGUGCCCAAUAAUAAAGCCGGGAACGUAUGUUUUAACACAGAGUUUGGCAAGCGAGAGAAACAAAAUCCGAAGGGAAUCCCAAUUUCUUCGCUUUUCAUCUUCUCUCGCUUCCAUUUCUCCGUUUUUCCCCCUCCGGCAAUGGCUAUCGAUUCUGAUUCUUUCAAACAAUCACUUCUCCCUAGCUUCCUUUACUCUUCUGCUCCCAACUCUUUCUCUCUGGAUCGACUCCUCAACGCCAACAGCCCUGCUUUCUCUGCUUCACGCUCCACUAUACCCGGUGCCCCCGCGGCCUCUUCCUCGCCGUCGAUCAAGGCGAGAACUUUCAUGAUCCCCUCCCCCAAUGAGCCCGGGAAGAAGAUUGAGAUGUAUUCGCCUCAGUUCUACGCUGCUUGUACCUUUGGCGGUAUCCUUAGCUGUGGUCUCACUCACAUGGCCGUUACUCCUCUUGACCUCGUCAAGUGUAAUAUGCAGGUUUACAGAUCUGGCUCUCUUCUUUUUUUUAUCCUUCUAUUGUUUAUUUUUGCUAGUUUUUUAAGAUUAGAUCUGAGAUAAGCUUGUUGUUCGCUUGAGAAUUUUGAUUGACAAGUUGUUUGCUUAUGAGAUCCGUGCCUACUUUUUACUGCUUCAGUUCCAGAACUAAAAUCACUGUCUGUCGGUUUUAUUGAUGAUCAAGGCUUCUGUCCCUUCGACUUUGGUACCUUGUAUUUCAAGUUUUGCUUUUUAGGAUGUCAUUUAUAGGAAUACGGAACUAUUUAGGAGUAUAACUUCGGUUGCAAUUGAGAUUUGAUUUUUUUUUUUUGGUUCAAAUCUCUCAAUUGUUAACUUGUGUUAGAUCCUUGUUGUUGGAAAGUCUGGUUGUGGAGAAGGAAUGGAGGUCCAUACGGUGGAUGAGAGGUAGUAGGAUUAGUGUUUAUGUGCUGUGGAAGUGAUUUAAUGGAGUAACAUUAUAUGAAGUAUCUUAGGGAAGAAGGUGAUGAAAUUGGGUUAUUUUUAUCCUUUAAGAUAGGGUCUUGUGUGGGAUGCUCAGUGUUGUCGAUGGCGCAAGGUGCUAGGUGCUUGAGUUAUUAAAUUGCCUCAGGCGCAAGUUGCAGAAAAGCACUAGUCUGAUUGAAGUAAAGCACAAUAUGUAUGUUGGUUUUCCUGUGUCUAUAUAUGGAGUGGAAGAUAUAAUAAAGUCUAAAGUUGAAUACUCAAAUAUUGAGAAGUAUGUAGUUUAAGACUAUCCAUUUCUUACUAGUAGGUAAGUCUAAUGAAAGGAAGUGAAAUUUUUUUUUUAAAGAUAACUUUAUUAAGGCUUUUUAUUCAUUUUUUUUUAUGCCCAUUGCCUUAAAAAAAGCAUACUUAGAUGGACAAACACCCACCUGAUUAAACGGGCUUGCCUGAAAGGGUUUGAUUAAAUGGACUUGCCCAAAAGGGUUUGAUUAAAUGGGUCGUUGUUUGUUUAGUGUUAAGGUGCAUGCACACCUAAGCCUGCGCUUUCUCAAAACUGGGGAAGCUGCUUGUCAUGUAGGGCUUCGAUACGUGCUCUUGGAUGUGAAGGGAGGAUUGCUAAUCGGUCCCACUUGGGUCCCAAUGUGAUUGGCAAGUGUCUUAAGUGUAAUGCCUUGUCUCAAGAGAAUCAGCCACUAUAAUCUUAUGAUUAGACCUUUACUUAGAAAGGUAUCAGAUCCUCAUUAUACUUGGUGUGGGGUUGACCUUCAUUUGUUCCAGGUGAGAUAUCGGGCUUGUCCCUUAGGCGAGGUUUUGGUGGUUUUCAGCCCUUUUAGUCCUAGGUCCAAACAUAAUUUCCUCGAAAUUAAUUUUAUGCUUCAUGUUAUUUACUGGUACAGUAGUACCUAAACGCACUCGUAGUUGUAUAUCUUUUAUUGUUUGUAGACAGAUUUCUGAGUUUUACUGGGUAGCUUUGUUAGAUGAGUACUUGGUUUUGUUUGUUGCUGUUAAUCUAGUUUAUUUUCUAUUGUAAUGUUUAACAUUUAAAGCACCUGAUGACUUUUUAUCCUACAUAAGACACCAAUUUUAUAGAACAGCUAAUGUUACUUUCUUGAUUUAGUUUUAUGUAACCUGUAAUUAAUAAGGUGAAUGAUCUAAGUUGAUAACAUAAGGACUGUUUUGCCAGAUUGACCCUGCAAAGUACAAAAGUAUCUCAUCUGGUUUCGGAGUUCUACUAAAGGAGCAAGGAGUGAGGGGCUUCUUCCGUGGUUGGGUUCCUACCCUUCUUGGUUACAGCGCACAGGGUGCUUGCAAGUUUGGAUUCUAUGAGUUCUUCAAGAAGUACUAUUCUGACCUUGCUGGACCUGAAUAUUUUGCCAAGUACAAGACUCUCAUCUAUCUUGCCGGCUCUGCAUCUGCUGAGGUGAUUGCUGAUGUUGCACUUUGCCCCUUUGAGGCAGUCAAGGUCAGGGUUCAAACCCAGCCUGGUUUUGCUAGGGGUCUGUC